GACGAACGCUGGCGGCAUGCCUAACACAUGCAAGUCGAACGAGACCUUCGGGUCUAGUGGCGCACGGGUGCGUAACGCGUGGGAACCUGCCCUUAGGUUCGGAAUAACUCCCCGAAAGGGGUGCUAAUACCGGAUAAUGUCUUCGGACCAAAGAUUUAUCGCCUUUGGAUGGGCCUGCGUUGGAUUAGCUAGUUGGUAGGGUAAAAGCCUACCAAGGCGACGAUCCAUAGCUGGUCUGAGAGGAUGAUCAGCCACACUGGGACUGAGACACGGCCCAGACUCCUACGGGAGGCAGCAGUGGGGAAUAUUGGACAAUGGGCGAAAGCCUGAUCCAGCAAUGCCGCGUGAGUGAUGAAGGCCUUAGGGUUGUAAAGCUCUUUUACCCGGGAUGAUAAUGACAGUACCGGGAGAAUAAGCUCCGGCUAACUCCGUA
rnacentral:rRNA from 1 species